rnacentral:rRNA from 1 species
GACGAACGCUGGCGGCGUGCUUAACACAUGCAAGUCGAACGGAAAGGCUCCAGCUUGCUGGAGUGCUCGAGUGGCGAACGGGUGAGUAACACGUGGGCAAUCUGCCCUGCACUCUGGGAUAAGCCUGGGAAACUGGGUCUAAUACCGGAUAGGACCUUUCUCCUCAUGGGGUUUGGUGGAAAGUUUUUCGGUGCAGGAUGGGCCCGCGGCCUAUCAGCUUGUUGGUGGGGUAAUGGCCUACCAAGGCGACGACGGGUAGCCGGCCUGAGAGGGUGAUCGGCCACAUUGGGACGGAGAUACGGCCCAGACUCCUACGGGAGGCAGCAGUGGGGAAUAUUGCACAAUGGGCGAAGGCCUAAUGCAGCGACGCCGCGUGGGGGAUGACGGCCUUCGGGUUGUAAACCUCUUUCAGUGGGGACGAGGCGCAAGUGACGGUACCUGCAGAAGAAGCACUGGCUAACUACGUG